UACGUAGGCAGCGAGCGUUGUUCGGAGUUACUGGGCGUAAAGAGUGCGUAGGCGGUGGCCCAAGUCUGGUGUGAAAUCUCCCGGCUUAACCGGGAGGGUGCGCCGGAAACUGGGUUGCUGGAGUACUGGAGAGGCAGGCGGAAUUCCUGGUGUAGCGGUGAAAUGCGUAGAUAUCAGGAGGAACACCCGUGGUGUAGACGGCCUGCUGGACAGUCACUGACGCUGAGGCACGAAAGCGUGGGGAGCAAACAGG
rnacentral:rRNA from 1 species